rnacentral:rRNA from 1 species
AGCGAACGCUGGCGGCAGGCCUAAUACAUGCAAGUCGAACGCCCCUUCGGGGGAGUGGCGGACGGGUGAGUAACGCGUGGGAAUAUGCCCUAUGGUGCGGAACAACUGAGGGAAACUUCAGCUAAUACCGCAUGUGCCCUACGGGGGAAAGAUUUAUCGCCAUAGGAGUAGCCCGCGUUGGAUUAGCUAGUUGGUGGGGUAAUGGCUCACCAAGGCUACAAUCCAUAGCUGGUCUGAGAGGAUGAUCAGCCACACUGGGACUGAGACACGGCCCAGACUCCUACGGGAGGCAGCAGUAGGGAAUCUUGCGCAAUGGGCGAAAGCCUGACGCAGCCAUGCCGCGUGAAUGAUGAAGGUCUUAGGAUUGUAAAAUUCUUUCACCGGGGACGAUAAUGCCGGUACCCGGAGAAGAAGCUCCGGCUAACUUCGUGCCAGCAGCCGCCGUAAAAC